CUCAACCAAAUUGUUUCUGAUAGGCUGAUCUCUGACAGGUUGAUCUUUGUACUUUAGGGAAAGGCAGAUCUUCUUCAAGGCAGUUCUCCAACUCAGGAAUUUCCUAAUCUUUCCUCAAGAUUAGUCUUUUUCCCAGAGGAUGCCAGAGCAAAGAUCCUCCUUGCUAGCUCAGAGGAAAGCCAGAUCAGGAGAGACUGUUAAACCCAGUAAACUCCCAAGAUCCUCCUCUCUUUUCAGAAUCUUCUACUGGAGUUUGUGUCUAAAUUCUCCUCCUUUCCUCUUAAAGCCAAUUUGUGCAUUUUUCUCUGUCCUUUAUCACUUUUCCUUACAGACCAAUCUGGGAAUCUCUUUUGUUUGGUCAUAUAUAUUUGUUCCAAGUUUUUUCCCCUUUUUUCUUCUUUUAAAUAAGGUGUGUGUGUGAAAGCAAAUAAAUACUUGGUAAUUUAAAAAAGAAACUGAAAGAAAAGAUUAAUCUUGUUUGUUUGGCCCCUGAAGGCAGAAAUAAGAGCAACAGAAAGUAGCAAAUUUAGGCUUGUUAUAAGGAAAAAUCUCACAAUUAGUGCUAUUCAAAAGUGGAAUGGGCUACUGGAGAUAGUGUGAUCCCCUUUACUUGAGGCCAUUAAGAGAAAGCAUUUUGGCUGGAAAGGUACUUGGAUAUGUUGUAGAGGUGGUUCUUUUAAAGGUAUUUAUUGUAGUACAAGGCUUUUGGGCAUCUUUCCAACUCUGAAAUUCUAUGAUUCUGCCUUUCCUUAAUCCUGCUAAUCAUCCCUGUCACAUAGUUUUCUAAUCUCAGAAUCAUCUUUAUCUUUUCCCUCUCUUUUGCUUUCUUUUUUUUAUAAGCAUUUAAUAUUUGCCAACUAUUGUCAAUUUUAAUUCCACAUCACUGCCAUAUCACUUUUCCCUACUGUACAGCUAGUUUAGGUCCUUAUCACAUCUUGCUUGAUGCAUUGGUACUGUUACCUAAGCUGUCUCCUGGCUUCAAGUAUUUUCCUUCUUCAUAUAAAAUCUUUCUGUGACAUGGAUUAGAUCACAUUACUUUCCUGCUCAAAUGUCUUUAGUGGCUCUCUACUGUCUUUAGAAUAUAAAUGGCUUGGCACUUAAGGUCCCCUGAUUUUAUUCCAACCUACUUAUCUAGCCAUAUUUCACAAUACUCCCAUUCAUGCAAUUCAUCCAGCCAAAUUAGACUCCUACCAUUUCUCCAAACUUGCCAUUCAUUUCCCAAAUCCAUGCAUCUGAAUAAGUUCAUGCAUGAAAUAGGCUCGUUUGUCCUUGCUUCACGGAAUCAUUUUCUUCAUUAUGUGUAAAAUUCAGAUGCUAUCUCCUCUAUGAAGGUUUUCCUCUUUUCCUUGGUCAUUAAUGCCUUCUUCCUCUACAAAUUAUCUCGUAAUUAUUUAUUGUGUAUAUGUUGUCAACAUGGAAUUUAGAAGACCCCAAACUUUUAGCCUAGAAAGAUUUAGUGAUUCCCCAGUUUUACUUAGCUCGGAGGUGAAAGCCUCAGGCUUGAGCCUGUUCCCGUGAGAAUCCACAACCCAUUUCAGAUGGGGGCUAAGCCCAAAACGAAGUCUUCUAGUCUCCAGAAGCCUCUCCCACACCCUCCUUCCGAGGAUCGAACUCGGGACCUUCAGCUUGCGAGACUUAGGAGACUGACGGGGUGCCUACUGUGCCAGAGUCACUCGACUUCAGCUUCAAUGGUCACAUACACCUAAUGUCGUAAGAACCAAGAAGUCUCUGACUCUUACUGGCUGUUCAACACUCGUUAAAACACUUAACCUCUCAGGGCUCUAAGCAAGAUACUAAUCUGUUGUAGUAGAGAGAAUUUUCCCCAUCCGAAAGAUACCUAGCCUGACUGUCAUCUCGGGGUCCUAAACUACUCCCCAGCCCUGCUGCUCUGACUUUCUAGUUUGAUCCUUUGCUCUAAAGCCUAAUACCUAUUCCUUCAUCUCAGUCUCUUUGAGGGAUGGUUUUAAAAAGAUCACGAGUUUAAUUGAAUUUUGGAGUUGUCAUGGAAUCACAUGACUGAGAUCGCUACGUGAUUCUCACAUGACAUUACUGAACUACAGCAUCUGAUUGGCUAUAGUGUUUACACGCAAAUUACUGGGGACCGGGAACUCAUGGUACUCUGUUUCCCAGAGGGCCUCAGGGCUUUCGCUAGUAACGUUACUUCAUUUCCCAAAGGCUUCUAGGCUUUUCUGUUCUUUAUCUGUGGAAUGGCUGGGGCGGGGGUGUAGUUCGAUUUAUUCUCAGGCUCCUAGGUGAUUGGAUUUCAAAUGGUAAUUUUUUUUCAAUGUCUGCCUAGUUUGCCUUCCUAGACUUCAGCUCUUCCCUAUCCACCCCAAACAGCAAUUCCUUUUUGAGUUCCUCAGCCCCACCUACUGAGGUCUGAGGCCGGAAGCUUUGCAGUCCUUUGUGGGAAACGUAGUCUUGAGACAAGAUUACGGUCAUGGUAUUCUAGGGUUUCUGGGAAACGUAAUCCUGGAAGUAGGGGCUGGCUAGGGCCAAUCAAUCCCAAUCACGUGGUGUUCCCAGUCAUAUGAUUCAAGUUUGAAAUGAAUUAUCGCGGGCUGAGGUGGGACCUUUAUAUCGCGGGUGGGACCUGAUCUCAGUUUUUCUUUAAAGGGGCGUGUAGAAAAGUCAGGUAAUGGAAUGGCGAUUCAGAUUGCAAUAGAACUUGAGGUUUUGCAGGACGUUUUCCCGCCCAAUAACCCCGUUGAGUGGGACAGAUAAAAUUGGGCGCCUCUGCUUCAGAAUAUGGGGUAAGCCAGAUAUUUUACUUCGAGAAUCACACACUUAAUUCCAUCUCAUUCACCAUGAUAGAAGCACUCUACUUAAAGGUACAGUCACUUCCCAGUAUGGGUGAAAUUUACUUCUUUUGAUUUAGUGGGUAGCCCGGUGAUGAGGGUUAGCUAGACUGGUCAAAUCAAGACCACAAGAAUUUAUCAAACAUCUGUUAUAUGCCAGGCACUGUAGUAAGUGUAAAGCCAGUCUCCGAUCUCAAACAGAUGACAGUCUAAUGGAAGAGACAACUUGCAACAACUAUAUACAGAUAGGAUAUCUACCGGAUAAUUGUACAUAUUCAACAGAGAGAAGGCACAAGCAUUAACCGGAAUGAAGAAAAGCUUCUUGAAGAAGGGUUUUGUUUUUGGACAAAGGGUGCUGGCUUUGUAAUCAGAAGAUCUGGUUUCCUAUCCCAGCUCUGGCUCCUUUGAUAUGGGUCACCUUGGGUAAAAGCUGCAGUGAAGUUGAAGUGAAGUGUUCCUUCCUGCUGAGAAGUACCUUCCUUACUGAGAAGAUUAAAUUGAAGGAGAUCCAUGUAACAACUAGCCUGAUCAAGAGACAGUAUUGGUCUAAAGGCCUGAGACAAAUAUCUGUGCCUGGCCUAGCUGGGUUGGACUUGAAGGACCAGCCCUGGAACCUAUUUUCUCUGACCCCCUUGCCCCUAGAGCCCCUGCAGUAAAGUUAAUGAAGAACCAGUUACUGGAAUGUGCUAGGAACUGAUAAGGACCCUGACCCCAGGAGUUCCUGUCACUCCCCCUCCUGACAUAUGCCAGGAGCCAUAAUGACCCCUAACCCCAGGAGUUCCUGUUCACUCCCCCCCACCCCAGGAAUUCCUGUGCACUCCCUCUACAACAAAAGUGUAUAAAAAGCCUGCAAGCCCCAGACUCAGGCCUAGUCAUUUUUAGAGUGCUGAGCCCAAACUGUAAUUUGUUUAAUAAACUCCCUCCUGUGUGUUACAUUGUUGGUCUUUGUUUCAUCCUUGGGAUGGAUAACUGGGCACUUCAGACUCAGUCAUCAAGAGUUCAGUCCUUGGCCAGAUAAAGAUUGUUUUAUCUUAUAAAACAACCUGGAGGAUUAAUUAGAUCUAGGUGUAGUCAGUGAGGUGUGGGGAAUCUUAGCCAGAGAUCCAGGGCUUAGGGAGCAUCAAGCAAAUGAAGAAUUUCCCAUGAGGGAAAUUUAGAAGGGGGAGGCUAGUGAGAUUGAUUAGAGCUAGGGAAACCCUGUUCCUUAAUCCUCCCUUCCUAAUCCUUUGUUUAUGAUGAAUAAAUCCAUUUUACCUGUUCAUCAA